GACGAACGCUGGCGGCGUGCCUAAUACAUGCAAGUUGAGCGCUGAAGGUUGGUACUUGUACCAACUGGAUGAGCAGCGAACGGGUGAGUAACGCGUGGGGAAUCUGCCUUUGAGCGGGGGACAACAUUUGGAAACGAAUGCUAAUACCGCAUAAAAACUUUAAACACAAGUUUUAAGUUUGAAAGAUGCAAUUGCAUCACUCAAAGAUGAUCCCGCGUUGUAUUAGCUAGUUGGUGAGGUAAAGGCUCACCAAGGCGAUGAUACAUAGCCGACCUGAGAGGGGUGAGGGCCACAUUGGGGAGUGGAACAGGCCCAAAACUCCGCGGGGGGGCGCCAGGAGGGAUUCUUGGGCAAGGGACAAAAGUCUGACGGAGCACCGCGGGGUGAGUGAAGAGGGUUUCCGGAUCGAAAACCUCUGUUGGAGGAAAAAACCGUGGGGGGGAGGGAAAACCUCAUAAAGGGACGGUAACUACCAAGAAAGGGAGGGCUAACUACGUC
rnacentral:rRNA from 1 species